rnacentral:rRNA from 1 species
AGCGUAGGCGGGAAUGCAAGUCAGAUGUGAAAACCAAGGGCUUAACCUUUGGACUGCAUUUGAAACUGUGUUUCUUGAGUGAAGUAGAGGCAAGCGGAAUUCCUGGUGUAGCGGUGAAAUGCGUAGAUAUCAGGAGGAACAUCGGUGGCGAAGGCGGCUUGCUGGGCUUUUACUGACGCUGAGGCUCGAAAGCGUGGGGAGCAAACA